rnacentral:rRNA from 1 species
UACGUAGGUGGCGAGCGUUGUCCGGAUUUACUGGGCGUAAAGAGCGCGCAGGCGGUCGUGCAAGUCGCGUGUGAAAGCCCCCGGCUCAACUGGGGAGGGUCACGCGAUACUGCUCGACUGGAAGGCAGGAGAGGGAAGUGGAAUUCCCGGUGUAGUGGUGAAAUGCGUAGAUAUCGGGAGGAACACCAGUGGCGAAGGCGACUCCUGGCCUGUUCUUGACGCUGAGGCGCGAAAGCUAGGGUAGCAAACGGGG